AAAUAAAUAAAAAAUAAAUAAAAAUCUCAGCCCGAAAAACGAAGCAGUUUCUCUACAGCAUUCCAGAGACAGUUAAGUUUUCCACGGACCACUUAAAAACUGAAAACCACCUUCCAAGCAGUUCUGUUUUUAGAGGAUUCAGCGGUGGAAGUCAAGUCAGGAUAACUCCUCCACUUCACCCCCUAACUGUUACAGCGUGAGCAGCACACAGACGUGCACAGAUAGGAGAAAUGAAAGAGUGAUGCAGAAGUGAGCACCUCAGCCUUCCACCACAUUUGCAUGCCAAUGAUCGCUGCUCCAUGCUCCACUUUCACAGCUUAUUCUGUGCCAUCUGCAGCUCCGGGGACACUAAAAAUCAUGUGAGGUUACGAGACCUCAAAGUAAUCCACGUGCAUGCUGUCAGCCAUUAUCGAAGUGAUCAGAGAGUCACAGAUAGUGCCGGUUCAAAACAGAAGUCAGAGAAACGCGACCUGUCACAUCCUUCAUGGACUCGCCUUCAAAACGUGCCACUGCAGCUUUGUCUGAGGUUCUGCCCUAGCUGCUGUCGCGGAUGCCCCCGGGGUCUUUGUGUUUUCCAACCAGACCAGGCAUCAGCUGGAAUUAUCAGUAUUGAAGGCACAUCUGUGAUGGUGGAGCAGCCAAUCUCCUGGGAGCGCUGAUAGAGAGAUUUCACCUCAGUGCCCCAUGGUUAACAAUGGCCACGCAGGUCGAUCACCAGGUCGAGGUCCAGGUUCUCUGCAUUUCCUCCACCGUGUGGGUCGGCCUCCAUCUUUCUCAUGUCAGUGGCAUCGCAAUCACAACUGUACAGAAGCCAAGGAGUCAGAACAGUCCAGGCCCACUCUGAGCGUGGUUGCUAUGGAGCUGAAACCACUGAAGAGCAGCAGCUCAUUGAUAUGGAUUGGGGAAGAACAUUCACAAGUGGUUUGAUCACUUUGGUGGGUAAAGGUGUAAUGGUACAGUUGGACGAAUC